UACGUAGGGGGCAAGCGUUGUCCGGAUUUAUUGGGCGUAAAGAGCUCGUAGGUGGUUCGGUAAGUCGGAUGUGAAAUCUCCAGGCUCAACCUGGAGGGGUCAUUCGAUACUGCCGUGACUAGAGGUCGGUAGGGGAGUGUGGAAUUCCUGGUGGAGCGGGUGAAAUGCGCAGAUAUCAGGAGGAACACCCGUAGCGAAGGCGGCACUCUGGGCCGAUUCUGACACUGAGGAGCGAAAGCGUGGGGAGCGAACAGG
rnacentral:rRNA from 1 species